rnacentral:lncRNA from 1 species
GGAUCAAGAUUGCAUGGGAUCUUUUGAAAGCAGCAAGGGAUCCCAUACUCAUUGAACGAAUGUCACGAUACGAACCUACGCGGCCUACAUCAUCGGAGAUGGAGUUUAUAGAACUCUAACUGAUUUUUUCCUGCUUUCUUACGUUCAAGAAAUUGGUUUAUUUUUUAGUUAACACAUGGUUUAAGGUUAUGUAGGAUUUUUGUUAUAAC